AGUUCCCCCUGCGUCGGGAGCGCGCAUUACAGCCAGAGAGGCGGAUCUGACCAUUUUCACGGCUCCACUCAGUGGCGCAAAAGGUGGCUAUGCAGUGUAUGCAACGCAUAGGGGCGCUGCACUAGAGGGGGCGCAAAAACCACGUGGGGAAUUUUUUUUCUAGUCAGCAUUUUAUGUACUUAACAGCUGUUUGUGUAUGAAAUGAUCAAUAACAGAGGAACAGCACUGAUUAGGCGCCCCCCUCCCUGCCAGCCGAUCUCCCCUCCCAUACAGGUAGCUUGGGCAGCGGCCCUUCGACAACGCACUAAGGCGCGUUUUUGUUCUUUUAAAUUUCAAAUGUGGUACUGCACA